ensembl:lncRNA
UAUGUGUGUGUGCGUGCGUGCGUGCGUGCGUGUGUGUGUGUGUGUCAGGCAUAAUGUUGGUUGGUGGAGUUGUUAGAGAGGUUGGUGUAUGCAGCCUGUCCAUAUGAGUGCCCAGACUGCAAGUGCUUGAAUCGUUAAGUCCACUGUUUUACGUCUUCCAUCAGGUUGGCACUGCCUUGUAUUAGUCCUUUAUAAGCUACGUACCGUUAUUUUUUUUGACUACUGUUAAGUUAAAAUUAACUAUCUGCGUGCUGGUUUACAGAGAAAUCAGAGUAAUCGGACCACCACACGUAGCACUUGGUUUGAUACAGCUGAGUUUACUGGUUUUAAGAUUGGACAAGAUUCAGCCGGAGAUGCAGAGUUCACAAUGGCUCUGUCACCCACGGCUGGAGAACGCGUUCUGAAUUUUACAUGUGAUAACAAUGGUUUAUAAGUCCAGUCUUCACUGAUGGUGCUUCCUGGGCCCCACACGUAUACGCCUCUCUGUGACUUGCAUGUUUCAGUCGUAAUUUCUGGCCUGACAAUUAAGUUUCUGUGAAUCUCCACUCCCUGGUACAGAUCGUCUCCCUAUCUCCUCUGUCUCCUGCCCAGGGUGCCCUAUGACCUUGGAAUUUAUGUCACUGGUCAUUCUUGAACUUGAAAGCAGUUCUUUGAAUGUUAUCUUAGGCCCCUCUGUCUGAAACCUGCUUUCCAACUGCUCAGUUAUACUGGUUAAAUGGGCAUACAUUGUUAAUAGAAAUAAAAUGUUAAUAAAUUCAUACCUAAACUGAAUUUAUCUUACACUACUUGAAUCACUUUGCAAAUAUGAAUGUAGCUGAAUUACCAGUAAGCUACUGCAAAAUGUAGGUACAAAACUAGUUGAACUACAUGCAGUUCACUACUCCCGAACACUGUGCAGGAUACUCCUGUGUUUCCUCGCUCAUAGGCCAUUUGUAGUUUAACCUAAAAUGGCCUAGACAGCCAUGAUGGCUUUUCUAUCUAUUUUCUAGCUAGAAUAAAAUUUGUUAAUCAAGAUCAUGUUUAUUUAUCUCAAACGUUUUCCUUCAUCUCUGUCAGAGCCAUAAAGCUCUAAAGGCCCAUUAUUUUUGUGAUUUGCUUCCUUGUGAUAGCUUACACGUGCAGGCUCUGUUGUCAUAGGGGGGGGGGGUCACCUGAAGAAUAUGACAUGAUGUUAAAACACACACACCAUUAAUGGUCACCCCAUGCCACUCAUCUGAUUUUUGACUUUGACAUUUGUGUUGAUUCAUAGAUAUAUAUGUUUAAGCCCAGGCAAGGCUAGAUACUGAGAGUGCUGGUGCUUGUCUGACUGAUUCAUUUGAUCAGUGCCCAUUCCUCUCUAAGCUAUACAAAUAGAUGUAUGCCCCCUUCUUUAAAAUGUGGUGUGGCUAUUUUGUGUCAUUAAUGUUAUGUUUAGCGUAUAUUUUCUUCCUGUUAGGAUUGUACAUUUUGUUUUCACCUCUUGCUAUAUGAUUCUUUGAGUAUCUAUGAUUUUCCACAUCACUGACCUCCUCUCCUCUCCUCUCCCCUUAACCUGCAUUAGUGUGUAUAAAAUUCCAGGUAUGUGCAUUAUUUUCAGGUUGUGCUACCUGUCAGACAUGAUGUGUUGAGACAGGUACUGGUGGUAUUGGGUGUUUGAAAUCUGAUUUGAUGGGUGUCCACUGCAGGUGGAUGUUUCACUCCGUCCAUAGCUGGCUGAUUCCACCUUGAUGAAACCCAAUUCUGUGAAAUGACACUCAGUUACACAAAUCUCUAUUCAACAAACAGGAAGUUCCUUUUCCAGGAACAUGAUCAAUGCAGCAUGAAGGGAGCAAUCUCAGUCCCUGGGUUUCACUUUCCCUGGAGUGCCAAUGGUCAUAAAUGUAUGAGCUCUGAGGUACUUUGGAUGACCACAUCUGUCAAGAGAUUUAAUCUGCUGCCAAUGGAACUAUGAGAUGGUAGUAGGUUUACUGAACAGGUUUUAAAGGUGUUUAAAUGUUUUGUUUGUUUAAUUGUUUCUUUGUUUAUCAUUUGCAUUUAUAGCCCAUGUAUAGACCUUUUUGACAUACCACAGGAGAGAUGUGCUGUAUCGCCUACACAGGCUGUGGAUCUCUUGGGCCUGAAAACAAGAAAAAGCAGCUUGGAGGAUGGACAAAAAAUAAAUCAAGUAUUGAAACAUAGAAAAUUACUUUUAUCAUCAAUAGAUUAAUUAUAUGUCUUACCAUUCUGGCACAGGACAAUGAAUGCUGGGGGAAAAGUGUGUAAUUUUACUUCUUCUAUUUACAUCACAUCUUUCAAAAAACAAACUAACAAAAACAAAUAGGCCAAUAAUUUAGCAACACCGUGAUGUAGGCCUAAUUUUGCUACAAGUAGAAUGGCAACCCAGAGCACUUCCCAAGAACUGGUCUUGUACAGGCCACAUACCAAUGAGUCAGAAGAAUGUCUGUCCCUGCAUUGUGAAAAGUGUCAGCUAGAGGAAGUGUUGUGUUUGUUUAAAUAGGCAAGGCACCAGCCUCUUAUCAGGCCACACUCCCAUUAACUGGACCCCUGGCAAAAUCCUUUCACCAGGAAACCACCAGAAAUCUGUUGUUAGAUGAGAUAAGACUUUGUGUGAUAAUCAGCAGCAGAAAGACAGAUGAAGAAAUAUAUGUAAAUAUGAAUAAAUAAAAAAGUACAAUAAAAAACAAAUCAGCUACAACAAGGAAUGAUAGUGUGCACUAAACAGGCUCAUGUAUUUGCAGUGUCCAAAUAUACAUGUAGUGCAAAAUGCCAUGAUAAAGAGCAAAUAAACAAAUUAUCACAGGUUCAUGUAUUUAAAGAGAUUGAAGUGUCCAAAGUGUAUAUAAUUGCAGUUGUAGAGUGUCCUGGGGAGGUGCAAAAAGAGUCUCAGGUGCGGUGGUGCAGCCAGAUGGCUGUCGGCACAAAGGAGUGCCUGAAUGGCCUGGUCUUGCACAUGGGGGAGAUGAGGCCGUGGUGAAAGGUGCUCCUCAUCUGCCUCAGCUCAUCAUAGAGGAGAUGGAAGAGGUUGCCCUGUGUGAUCUGGAUUUUGUACCACCAUCAUCCUCUCCACCACUGCCUCCACACUGUCCCGUUUCAGUCCAACAAAGCCUUCCUCACCAGCUUGUUAAGUCUGUUGGUCUCCCCAGCCUUGAUGCCGAUCCAUAUAAUGCAAUAGGCUGUAUUAUGCUGCCAAUUAAUUUGGACCAGAUAGUGAUUGGUAUGUUUAUAUAGUAAAAAAAAUCGAUUUUCUAGCAUACAGUGCUCUACUGCUUUUCUUUGUGCGCAUUGACUGCCUUGCUGAAACUUCCUGAUGUCUUGAAGGGUAAGUCCAGGAGCUGUAGAUUGGUCCAGCUGCACCACUAACUCAUUAAUGUGUAGAUGACGAAGAGUGUAGAUGACGAAGAGUGUAGAUUACGAAGAGUGUUGAUGACGAAGAGUUUAGAUGACGAAGAGUGUUGAUGACGAAGAGUUUAGAUGACGAAGAGUGUAGAUGACGAAGAGUGUUGAUGACGAAGAGUUUAGAUGACGAAGAAUGUAGAUGACGAAGAGUGUUGGACUCACUCCACGUCUCUGUUGUUGCCCAUUUUUACUUGAAUAUACUUGAAUAUAUUAAUUUAAUCACAUCAGACACCACUUUCUAAAAUGUUUGUCACGUAACAUGUGUGGCAAAUAGAAUGAUUCAUCAUUUAGAAUAUUGAAAGCAAGCAAAUAUUUUUCAUUUUUUUGUGUCUUUUACAUGUUUACUGAUUAGGGUGUGUGGGUGUAAAUAUGAUAUGUGGUAAGCUGGUUUGGGAGAAAGUCAAGUUGAUUUUUACUCAGGGCAUUGAUUGUGUUUGUUAAGGAAGGUUUGAAUUCUUGAAAAACUCACAGUGAGAUUGAGUCAUUUGAGCAGAGCUCUCUGCAGCUCUGGUGUGCUGUAAGGUGUUGUCUAGACUUACAGUAUACAAGAAAAAAAAGAAUGUAAAGAUAUGUCAUUGUUUGUUCAACUCACAGUGUGAGAAUAACUGCACAUGUGAAGAUGUGUGUUCUGGCAAGCUCUGUUAUCAUUAUUAUUAUUAAUAAUACUAUUAAUAAUAAUCCUUAAGUGUGUGUGUGUCUCUGUCUCUCUCUCUCUCUCUCUGUUUGUGUGUGUGUGUGUGUUUCUGAGUCACAUCCUGUGAAUCUUGUUUGUAUGUUGAUGUAAUGUUACAAGGUGCCACAAGGUGCUCCCACAGCUGAUAACAGUAUAGUUGAAUUCAGACGUUACAUAACUUCCUGUAUAUCAAACAGGGAUUACCACUUAGUGUAACACAGAGGGUCAGUAGGUA